CCCUGGUAGCUCAGAUGGUAAAGAGUCUGCCUGAAAUGCAAGAGACCCGGGUUCAAUCCCUGGAUCAGGAA
rfam:Ovis aries breed Texel chromosome 16, whole genome shotgun sequence.